ACGGCCAUAUGUUGAAACACUAGUUCCUGUACGAUCACCGAAGUUAAGGAACCUGGAGCCUGGCCUGUACUUAGAUAGGUGACCGCGUGGGAAUACCAGGUGCU